rnacentral:rRNA from 1 species
UACGAAGGGGGCUAGCGUUGCUCGGAAUUACUGGGCGUAAAGCGCACGUAGGCGGCUUCUUAAGUCGGUGGUGAAAUCCUGGAGCUCAACUCCAGAACUGCCUUCGAUACUGGGAAGCUUGAGUUCGGAAGAGGUGAGUGGAAUUCCCAGUGUAGAGGUGAAAUUCGUAGAGAUUGGGAAGAACACCAGUGGCGAAGGCGGCUCACUGGUCCGAUACUGACGCUGAGGUGCGAAAGCGUGGGGAGCAAACAGG